rnacentral:rRNA from 1 species
CGUAGGGGGCGAGCGUUGUCCGAAGUUACUGGGCGUAAAGCGCGCGUAGGCGGGGGAUUAAGUGAGAGGUGAAAGGCUGGGGCUCAACCUCAUGCAGUGCCUCUCAUACUGGUCUUCUUGAGGGCGGUAGGGAGAAGUGGAAUGGCUGGUGUAGCGGUGAAAUGCGUAGAUAUCAGUCGGAACACCGGUGGCGAAGGCGGCUUCUUGGGCCGUUCCUGACGCUGAGGCGCGAAAGCUGGGGGAGCGAACGGGAUUAGAUACCCCGGUAGUCCCAGCCGUAAACGAUGGAUACUAGGUGUUGGGGGUAUCGACCCCUCCAGUGCCGCAGCUAACGCAUUAAGUAUCCCGCCUGGGGAGUACGGCCGCAAGGUUG